rnacentral:rRNA from 1 species
UUUUGGACAAUGGGCGAAAGCCUGAUCCAGCAAUGCCGCGUGCAGGAAGAAGGCCUUCGGGUUGUAAACUGCUUUUGUACGGAACGAAACGGUCUGCCCUAAUACGGCGGGCUAAUGACGGUACCGUAAGAAUAAGCACCGGCUAACUACGUGCCAGCAGCCGCGGUAAUACGUAGGGUGCGAGCGUUAAUCGGAAUUACUGGGCGUAAAGCGUGCGCAGGCGGUUAUGUAAGACAGUUGUGAAAUCCCCGGGCUCAACCUGGGAAUUGCAUCUGUGACUGCAUAGCUAGAGUACGGUAGAGGGGGAUGGAAUUCCGCGUGUAGCAGUGAAAUGCGUAGAUAUGCGGAGGAACACCGAUGGCGAAGGCAACCCCCUGGACCUGUACUGACGCUCAUGCACGAAA